rnacentral:rRNA from 1 species
CCUACGGGUGGCAGCAGUGAGGAAUAUUGGUCAAUGGCCGGAAGGCUGAACCAGCCAUGCCGCGUGAAGGUCAGUGCCCUUUGGGCGUUAAACUUCUUUUGUGCGGGAGCAAUACAGGUAUCCACGUGUGGAUAUUUGCAUGUACCCUAUGAAUAAGCAUCGGCUAACUCCGUGCCAGCAGCCGCGGUAAUACGGAGGAUGCGAGCGUUAUACGGAUUUAUUGGGUUUAAAGGGUGCGUAGGUUGUUAUUUAAGUCAGCGGUGAAAUGUUGUGGCUCAACCAAAAAAUUGCCGUUGAAACUGGGAGACUUGAGUGUUGUAGAGGUAGGCGGAAUGCGUGGUGUAGCGGUGAAAUGCAUAGAGAUCACGAAGAACACCGAUUGCGAAGGCAGCUUACUAAGCCAUAACUGACGCUGAAGCACGAAAGCGUGGGGAGCAAACAGGAUUAGAUACCCUUGUAGUC